UACGGAGGGUGCAAGCGUUAUCCGGAUUUAUUGGGUUUAAAGGGUACGUAGGCGGUGGAGUAAGUCAGUGGUGAAAGCCAACAGCUCAACUGUUGAACUGCCAUUGAUACUGCUUCACUUGAGUGCAGUUGAGGUGGGUGGAAUUCCAUGUGUAACGGUGAAAUGCUUGGAUAUAUGGAGGAACACCGAUAACGAAGGUAACUCACUAAACUGUAACUGACGCUGAGGUACGAAAGCGUGGGGAGCAAACGGG
rnacentral:rRNA from 1 species